rnacentral:rRNA from 1 species
UACGUAGGGUGCAAGCGUUAAUCGGAAUUACUGGGCGUAAAGCGUGCGCAGGCGGCUCUGCAAGACAGAUGUGAAAUCCCCGGGCUUAACCUGGGAACUGCAUUUGUGACUGCAUGGCUGGAGUGCGGCAGAGGGGGAUGGAAUUCCGCGUGUAGCAGUGAAAUGCGUAGAUAUGCGGAGGAACACCGAUGGCGAAGGCAAUCCCCUGGGCCUGCACUGACGCUCAUGCACGAAAGCGUGGGGAGCAAACAGG